UCACCCACUCUCUCCACUCCAACAGAUCGCGGCCACGGGGAUCUGUCACACAGAUGAACAUGUUCUAGAAGGUAACUUUGCUGGUGUGGAAUUCCCAGUCAUCCUGGGCCAUGAAGGAGCUGGGAUUGUGGAGAGCAUUGGAGAAGGAGUGACCUCUGUGAAACCAGGAGACAAAGUCAUUCUCUUUGGACUUCCUCAAUGUGGAGAAUGCAGCUUCUGCUUGAAUCCUGACUCCAACUACUGCCUGAAAUCACACCUCACUGAACCACAAAACCUGCUGCCUGACAAGACCAGCAGAUUCACUUGCAAAG